UACGGAGGGUGCAAGCGUUAUCCGGAUUCACUGGGUUUAAAGGGUGUGUAGGCGGAUAUUUAAGUCAGUGGUGAAAUCUCCAGGCUCAACCUGGAAACUGCCAUUGAUACUAUUUAUCUUGAAUAUCGUUGAGGUAGGCGGAAUAUGUCAUGUAGCGGUGAAAUGCUUAGAGAUGACAUAGAACACCGAUUGCGAAGGCAGCUUACUAAAACGAUUAUUGACGCUGAGGCACGAAAGCGUGGGGAUCAAACAGG
rnacentral:rRNA from 1 species